UCAUUGAUUGGUGGUUGCCAUGGCUGCAGGCAUUUAGCUUGGCAAUAUGGCGUCGGCGGAUCGGCGAAGGCCGCUACUUUUUCUCUUCUAGGCUAUUCUGGGUUUCUGAGGCAGGCCGGCCCGGGUAUGGGCUCUCUGUCACCGCUCAGCCUCCUGUGGGGACUCCUCCUGCUGCAGGGCGUCCUGAGGCCGCUGCGCGGGGACCCGGGUGUGUAUGGUGAGGGUAUGGCCAGCAUGGCCCAGGCUGAGGGAAUCUGGCUCUUAAAGGGCCAGACCUGGGGUUCCUAGGAUCCCGGAAGCCAGGCCACAUAAAAAGCCAGCACACACACCCCAGGUACAGGUUCUGUACCCGUUAACCCCUCCCCGCACAUCCUUCCUUCCCUCAGUUUUCAUCCCACCUUUCAUCCGGAUGUCCAGCCCUGAGGUCCGAGCGACCCUGGUCGGAGGCAGCGAGGAUGUCGCCGUGUCUCUGAGUCUGCUGCAGGUCGAGGAAGGAGUGUUGCCAGUUCCUACUUGUGGCGGCCGCCGCAAUGAGACAGCGGAUUGGAAUGUGACUGUGAGCCCCCGAGAGAGCAUGCUGGAAGUGACCAUAAGGUGGAAGAGGGGUCUAGACUGGUGCUCCGCAGAUGAGACAGCC
ensembl:processed_transcript Tctn2 tectonic family member 2